AACGAACGCUGGCGGCAUGCCUAACACAUGCAAGUCGAACGAGACCUUCGGGUCUAGUGGCGCACGGGUGCGUAACGCGUGGGAAUCUACCCUCAGGUUCGGAAUAACUCAGAGAAAUUUGAGCUAAUACCGGAUGAUGACGUAAGUCCAAAGAUUUAUCGCCUGAGGAUGAGCCCGCGUAGGAUUAGGUAGUUGGUGAGGUAAAGGCUCACCAAGCCGACGAUCCUUAGCUGGUCUGAGAGGAUGAUCAGCCACACUGGGACUGAGACACGGCCCAGACUCCUACGGGAGGCAGCAGUAGGGAAUAUUGGACAAUGGGCGAAAGCCUGAUCCAGCAAUGCCGCGUGAGUGAUGAAGGCCUUAGGGUUGUAAAGCUCUUUUACCCGGGAUGAUAAUGACAGUACCGGGAGAAUAAGCUCCGGCUAACUCCGUG
rnacentral:rRNA from 1 species